UACGUAGGGCGCAAGCGUUGUCCGGAAUUAUUGGGCGUAAAGAGCUCGUAGGCGGCCUGUUACGUCUGCUGUGAAAUCCCGGGGCUUAACCCCGGGCGUGCAGUGGAUACGGGCAGGCUGGAGGCAGGCAGGGGAGAACGGAAUUCCUGGUGUAGCGGUGAAAUGCGCAGAUAUCAGGAGGAACACCGGUGGCGAAGGCGGGUCUCUGGGCCGAUACUGACACUGAGGAGCGAAAGCGUGGGGAGCGAACAGG
rnacentral:rRNA from 1 species